rnacentral:rRNA from 1 species
GACGAACGCUGGCGGCGUGCUUAACACAUGCAAGUCGAACGGAAAGGCCCUGCUUUUGUGGGGUGCUCGAGUGGCGAACGGGUGAGUAACACGUGAGUAACCUGCCCUUGACUUUGGGAUAACUUCAGGAAACUGGGGCUAAUACCGGAUAGGAGCUCCUGCUGCAUGGUGGGGGUUGGAAAGUUUCGGCGGUUGGGGAUGGACUCGCGGCUUAUCAGCUUGUUGGUGGGGUAGUGGCUUACCAAGGCUUUGACGGGUAGCCGGCCUGAGAGGGUGACCGGCCACAUUGGGACUGAGAUACGGCCCAGACUCCUACGGGAGGCAGCAGUGGGGAAUAUUGCACAAUGGGCGGAAGCCUGAUGCAGCAACGCCGCGUGCGGGAUGACGGCCUUCGGGUUGUAAACCGCUUUCGCCUGUGACGAAGCGUGAGUGACGGUAAUGGGUAAAGAAGCACCGGCUAACUACGUGCCAGCAGCCGCGGUGAUACGUAGGGUGCGAGCGUUGUCCGGAUUUAUUGGGCGUAAAGGGCUCGUAGGUGGUUGAUCGCGUCGGAAGUGUAAUCUUGGGGCUUAACCCUGAGCGUGCUUUCGAUACGGGUUGACUUGAGGAAGGUAGGGGAGAAUGGAAUUCCUGGUGGAGCGGUGGAAUGCGCAGAUAUCAGGAGGAACACCAGUGGCGAAGGCGGUUCUCUGGGCCUUUCCUGACGCUGAGGAGCGAAAGCGUGGGGAGCGAACAGGCUUAGAUACCCUGGUAGUCCACGCUGUAAACGGUGGGUACUAGGUGUGGGGUCCAUUCCACGGGUUCCGUGCCGUAGCUAACGCUUUAAGUACCCCGCCUGGGGAGUACGGCCGCAAGGCUAAAACUCAAAGGAAUUGACGGGGCCCCGCACAAGCGGCGGAGCAUGCGGAUUAAUUCGAUGCAACGCGUAGAACCUUACCUGGGUUUGACAUGGAUCGGGAGUGCUCAGAGAUGGGUGUGCCUCUUUUGGGGUCGGUUCACAGGUGGUGCAUGGCUGUCGUCAGCUCGUGUCGUGAGAUGUUGGGUUAAGUCCCGCAACGAGCGCAACCCUUGUUCACUGUUGCCAGCACGUUAUGGUGGGGACUCAGUGGAGACCGCCGGGGUCAACUCGGAGGAAGGUGGGGAUGACGUCAAGUCAUCAUGCCCCUUAUGUCCAGGGCUUCACGCAUGCUACAAUGGCUGGUACAGAGAGUGGCGAGCCUGUGAGGGUGAGCGAAUCUCGGAAAGCCGGUCUCAGUUCGGAUUGGGGUCUGCAACUCGACCUCAUGAAGUCGGAGUCGCUAGUAAUCGCAGAUCAGCAACGCUGCGGUGAAUACGUUCCCGGGGCUUGUACACACCGCCCGUCAAGUCAUGAAAGUUGGUAACACCCGAAGCCGGUGGCCUAACCGUUGUGGGGGAGCCGUCGAAGGUG